rnacentral:lncRNA from 1 species
AAGAUGAUGGACACUGCACAAUCGCUCCACUUUAACUACUAUGGCAAGGGCACCAAUCUCACCCAGAUCCCAGUCAUACAGGAUCUCUUUAUGAAGAUCUGGGAAGCACAGGCCACGGACCUAGGACUCACCAAGAAUCUUAAUAAGUUCACUUCUAAUGAAUCUUUUGAUUUUAGGAUAUGGGAUGAUGGACUGUUUAGAUUUCGAAACCAAAUUUGGGUCUCUAUUGUUGUACGUAUGAAUGUACUCAAGACCGCCCAUGUUUCUAAGUUAUCCAUUCAUCCCGGGAGUACCAAAAUAUACUA